CACAACUCGGCGAGGUCCCAGGUGGAUGGUGAAUACAGGACCGUAACGUUGGCUGAUCUGAUGGAGGAGAAUGAUCAGAGAAGGACAACAGUGGCUCCCUCCAGAUGUACCUGAAACCUAUACAAAGACAUGGGCUCUCGCUGAACCCAGAGCUCACCGAUUUGGCUAGCCUGUGUGGCUAAUGAGGCUCAGGGAUCCUCCUGAAUCCAUGCCUCUCCACCCCAGCAUGGCGAGGUGAAUAGGAAGAUCCAGGCAACUGAAGACAUUGUGGUUGACUACAGCACUGGUUGAUAGUGGGGGUUGAAACUCUAUAAAGAAAGAGUCAGAGAAA
rnacentral:sRNA from 1 species